rnacentral:rRNA from 1 species
CAAUAGCGUAUAUUAAAGUUGUUGCAGUUAAAAAGCUCGUAGUUGGAUUUCUGAAUGGAAUAUUCGGUCCGCUUUUUUAUUAAAGUGUGUACGUGUGAAUAUUGUGUUCAUUUUUUGUGAGAAACUUUUUCUGUCAUUAAGUUGAUGGAUUUAGCAACUUGCAUCGUUUACUGUGAAAAAAUUAGAGUGUUUAAAGCAGGCGUUUUGUCCUUUGAAUACAUUAGCAUGGAAUAAUAAGAUAUGACUUUGGUGGUCUAUUUUGUUGGUUGAGCCUAAAGUAAUGAUUANUAGGGAUAGUUGGGGGCACCUGUAUUGCGUUGUCAGAGGUGAAAUUCUUGGAUUUACGCAAGACAAACAGCUGCGAANGNGUCUGCNAAGGAUGUUUNCAUUA